GUGACGUCAGCCAGGUGCCGGGCAUCUCCGGCCCGGCUUCCCGCGAGCGACACUCGGUGGUGCGGGUAGCGUGUGGUUGGGUGUCCGUCGAGCCGACUGUGGUGGACGCCGGGCGGCGAAGGCCGUUCCCGAGCCGCGGCCUCGAGGCGGUUCCCGGCGGCUGGAGCAGCAGGGCGCGGGCCCGGUAAUGUUUUACCGCGACCGGCGACGUGGGCCAGGCGAGGAGUGACCUGCAGUGUGAGUGGCUGAGGCCACAGAGACACCCAGACAGCAGACUGCAGCACUGUGCAUCCAGCACUCGCAGCUUCCGGUUCCUGAAUCAGAAAAAAACUCAACCUUAAAACCCUUUCUUCAGAACACUCAGUUCCCAGCAUUCGCUGUGGAUGGGGUUCUCCUUUGACCUCGCACAAGUUCAUACUGCACACCUGGGGCUCUGUUACUACUAAAGAGAAGAUGGCGAUGACCGCGACAACUGUAGUGGUUCCUGCUGAGUGGAUCAAGAACUGGGAGAAAUCGGGGAGAAGCGAGUUUUUGCGUUUAUGCCGGAUUCUCAGUGAAAGUAAAAGCCGCGACACUUUGGCUUGUAGAGAUUUCCAACAAGCUCUCUAUGAGUUAUCAUACCAUGUCAUUAAAGGAACUUUAAAGCCGGAACAAGCAUCCAGUGUUCUCAGUGACAUCAGUGAAUUUUGUGAAGAUAUUCCACUUAUUCUUGCCGAUAUAUUCUGCAUAUUAGAUAUUGAGACGAAUUGUUUAGAAGAAAAGAGCAAGAGAGAUCAUUUUACACAGUUGGUAUUAGCAUGUUUAUAUUUAGUUUCAGACACAGUUCUAAAGGAACGCUUGGAUCCAGAAACAUUGGAGUCGUUAGGCCUUAUCAAACAAUCGCAGCAGUUCAAUCAGAAGUCAGUUAAAAUCAAGACGAAACUCUUUUACAAACAACAGAAGUUCAAUUUGUUAAGAGAAGAAAAUGAAGGUUAUGCCAAGCUUAUUGUUGAAUUGGGGCAAGAUUUAUCUGGAAAUAUUACUAGUGAUUUAAUCUUAGAAAUUCUCAAAUCUUUAAUAGGUUGCUUUAAUCUAGACCCCAAUAGAGUUUUGGAUAUCAUAUUAGAGGUGUUUGAGUGUAGGCCAGAACACCAUGAUUUCUUCAUAGCUUUAUUAGAAGCUUAUAUGAAUAUGUGUGAACCACAAACAUUGUGUCAUAUUCUUGGGUUCAAAUUCAAGUUUUACCAGGAACCAAAUGGUGAGACUCCAUCAUCUUUAUAUACAGUUGCAGCAGUACUUCUGCAGUUUAAUCUUAUCGAUUUGGAUGAUCUUUAUGUACACCUUCUUCCAGCUGAUAGUUGCAUUGUGAAUGAAUACAAACGAGAAAUUGUGGAAGCUAAACACAUUGUCAGAAAACUUACAAUGGUUGUAUUGCCUUCUGACAAAAGUGAAGAACGAGAGAAAGAAAAGAAAAAAGAUGAUAAAGUAGAGAAGGCACCUGACAAUCAAAAACUUGGUUUGUUGGAAGCCUUGUUAAUUAUUGGUGAUUGGCAGCAUGCACAGAGUAUUAUGGAUCGAAUGCCUCCAUACUAUGCAGCGUCACAUAAAGUAAUAGCCCUUGCUAUUUGCAAUCUUAUACACAUAACUAUUGAACCUCUUUACCGAAGAGUUGGUGUUCCUAAAGGUGCUAAAGGUUCACCUGUCAAUGCUUUACAAAACAAGAAGUCACCAAAGCCAGCAGAGAGCUUUGAAGACUUAAGGAGAGAUGUAUUCAGUAUGUUCUGUUAUCUCGGUCCCCACCUUUCUCAUGAUCCCAUCUUAUUUGCAAAGGUUGUGCGCAUAGGCAAGUCAUUUAUGAAGGAAUUUCAGUCUGAUGGGAAGCAAGAAAAUAAAGAGAAAAUGGAAGUCAUUUUUAGUUGUUUGCUUAGCAUAACUGACCAGGUACUACUUCCAUCUCUUUCUUUGAUGGAUUGCAAUGCGUGUAUGUCCGAGGAACUAUGGGGAAUGUUUAAAACAUUUCCUUAUCAGCAUAGAUACCGCUUAUAUGGCCAGUGGAAGAAUGAGACUUACCAUAGUCACCCACUUUUAGUAAAAAUUAAAGCCCACACAGUAGACAGAGCCAAGUACAUUAUGAAGCGUCUAACCAAGGAAAAUGUGAAGCCUUCAGGAAGACAGAUUGGGAAACUGAGCCACAGCAAUCCAACCAUUUUGUUUGAUUAUGUCUUGUCACAAAUACAGAAAUACGAUAACUUAAUAACACCAGUGGUAGACUCAUUGAAAUAUCUCACUGCGUUGAACUAUGAUGUUUUGGCCUAUUGUAUCAUUGAAGCAUUAGCUAAUCCAGAAAAAGAAAGAAUGAAGCAUGAUGACACAACCAUCUCAAGCUGGCUUCAGAGCCUGGCUAGUUUCUGUGGUGCAGUUUUUCGUAAAUACCCAAUUGAUCUUGCUGGUCUUCUUCAGUAUGUAGCCAAUCAAUUAAAGGCAGGCAAAAGUUUUGACCUGCUUAUAUUGAAAGAAGUGGUACAAAAAAUGGCAGGAAUAGAAGUUACAGAGGAAAUGACAAUGGACCAGCUAGAGGCUAUGACUGGUGGGGAGCAACUGAAAGCUGAGGGUGGAUAUUUUGGCCAGAUAAGAAACACUAAAAAAUCCUCUCAGAGAUUGAAGGAUGCACUGCUGGACCAUGACCUUGCCCUUCCUCUCUGUUUGCUUAUGGCCCAGCAGAGGAAUGGUGUGAUCUUUCAGGAAGGCGGAGAGAAACAUUUGAAGCUUGUAGGAAAACUGUAUGACCAGUGUCAUGAUACUUUGGUACAGUUUGGUGGGUUUUUAGCUUCAAAUUUAAGCACAGAUGAUUACAUAAAGAGAGUACCUUCAAUUGAUGUACUGUGUAAUGAAUUUCAUACACCCCAUGAUGCAGCAUUUUUUCUAUCUCGGCCAAUGUAUGCGCACCAUAUUUCAUCAAAGUAUGAUGAACUUAAGAAAUCAGAAAAGGGUAGUAAACAGCAACAUAAAGUUCAUAAAUACAUUACAUCAUGUGAGAUGGUGAUGGCUCCUGUCCAUGAAGCAGUGAUCUCCUUACACAUUUCCAAAGUCUGGGAAGAUAUCAGCCCUCAAUUUUAUACCACGUUCUGGUCUCUGACAAUAUAUGACCUUGCAGUUCCACACACUAGCUAUGAACGAGAAGUCAAUAAACUUAAGAUCCAGAUGAAAGCAAUUGAUGACAAUCAAGAAAUGCCUCUGAAUAAAAAGAAAAAAGAGAAAGAGCGCUGUACUGCCCUUCAGGACAAGCUUCUUGAAGAAGAAAAGAAACAGACGGAGCAUGUGCAGCGAGUUCUACAGAGACUGAAAUUGGAAAAGGACAACUGGCUCUUAGCAAAAUCUACUAAAAAUGAGACCAUCACAAAGUUUCUCCAGCUGUGUAUAUUUCCUCGUUGUAUUUUUUCAGCAAUUGAUUCUGUUUACUGUGCGCAUUUUGUUGAGUUGGUCCAUCAACAGAAGACUCCAAAUUUCUCCACACUUCUCUGCUAUGAUCGAGUUUUCUCUGAUAUAAUUUACAUGGUUGCUAGCUUUACUGAAAAUGAAGCUAGUCGAUAUGGUAGAUUUCUUUGCUGCAUGUUAGAGACGGUGACUAGGUGGCAUAGUGACAGAUCUACUUAUGAGAAGGAAUGUGGAAACUAUCCAGGAUUCCUUACUAUAUUACGAGCAACUGGAUUUGAUGGUGGAAAUAAAGCGGAUCAGUUAGAUUAUGAGAAUUUUCGGCAUGUUGUACAUAAAUGGCAUUAUAAACUAACCAAGGCGUCGGUACAUUGCCUUGAAACAGGUGAAUAUACUCAUAUCAGAAAUAUCUUGAUUGUGCUCACAAAAAUACUGCCAUGGUACCCCAAAGUUUUAAAUCUGGGACAGGCUUUGGAAAGAAGAGUACAUAAAAUCUGCCAAGAAGAGAAAGAAAAGAAGCCAGAUCUGUAUGUACUAGCAAUGGUCUACUCUGGGCAGCUGAAAAAUAGAAAGUCGUACAUGAUACCUGAAAAUGAAUUUCAUCACAAAGAUCCUCCUCCAAGAAAUGCUGUUUCAAGUGUACCAAAUGGACCUUGUAGUGGGCUGCCUUCUUCUAUAGGAAACACAUCUAAGUCAGAUGAAAGCAGUACUGAGGAGACUGACAAGUCAAGGGAAAGGUCUCAGUGUGGCCUGAAAGCUGUCACUAAAGCCUCUAGUGCCGUACCAAAAGGGAAUUCAAACAAUGGAAACAGCGGCUCCAACACCAAAGCUGUUAAGGAAAAUGAUAAAGAAAAGGGGAAAGAGAAGGAAAAAGAGAAAAAAGAAAAGACCUCAGCUGUUAUUCCAGAGGCUAGGGUUCUUUGUAAAGACAAUAAAGAAAAAUCCAAGGAAGAGCAACCAAAUAAAGAUGAGAAAAUAAGAGAGACCAAGGAAAGAAUGCCUAAAUCUGACAAAGAUAAGGAAAAAUUAAAGAAGGAGGAAAAAGCUAAAGAUGAGAAGUUCAGGAUCACUGUCCCUAACAUAGAUUCAAAGUCCACUCAAGAAAGAGAAAAAGAGAAAGAGCCAUCAAGAGAAAGAGAUUUAGCAAAGGAAAUGAAAUCAAAAGAAAAUAUUAAAGGAGGAGAAAAAACACCAAUUUCUGGGUCCUUGAAAUCACCUGUUUCCCGAACAGAUAAUGCAGAGCCCGAAAGAGAAAAACGUCGCAAGGUAGAUUCCCAUCCUUCUCCAUCCCAUUCUUCCACAAUAAAGGACAGUCUCAACAAACUCAAGGAGUCUUCAGCAAAGCUCUACAUCAACCAUGCUCCACCUCCGUUGUGCAAGAGUAAGGAGAGAGAAAUGGACAAGAAAGAUUUGGACAAGUCGAGGGAAAGAUCCAGAGAGAGAGAAAAAAAAGAAGAAAAGGACCGGAAAGAGAGGAAAAGGGAUUAUUCAAACAAUGACCGGGAAGUGCCUCUAGACUUAGUCAAAAGGCGGAAAGAUGAAAAUGGAAUAUUGGGGACUUCAAAGCACAAAAGUGAAAGCCCCUGUGAGUCUCCUUAUCCAAAUGAGAAAGACAAGGAAAAAAAUAAGUCAAAAUCCUCAGGCAAAGAAAAAGGUGAUUUCUUUAAACCUGAUAAGGUGGAUAAAGUAUCUAGUGGGAAAAAGGAGUCUGGGCAUGAUAAAGAAAAGGUAGAAAAGAAAGAGAAAUGGGACAGUUGUGGAGAUAAGGAUGAGAAGAAGCAUCAUAAGUCCUCAGACAAGCACAGAUAAUGAAGACUUUGAGCCAAGAGUGGGCAGGCCUCCAGGCUGAAGGACUCCCAGCAGAGGAUGCCAGAGCUCUCGGUCACUCUCAAAACUCAAUUACGAGCUCCUGGUGCUGUUCAUCUUAUGAGAAUCUGCAUUACAUCAGAAGAUGAAUAUGCAUCCCCAUCCUUUUGAGACAUUGCAAAGUCAAUGGUUUUCAGAACAUUAUUUUUACCUCCAGGCAGUUUCUUGCAGCAAGAUCCCUGUGCGUACAUUUUUUUUUCUUGAAAUGACACCAUCCAGAAACAGCAUUUAUGAAAUUUUCACCAGCUGAUUCUUGGAUCACCCUUGGAAAGGAAAAAGGAAUUCUCUUUUCUUCAGUGGAAGACUUCUGGGAGGGCCUGCUGUGCGUUUGCCAAUAUAUAAGUAGGCCAUGGUGCAUUGUUGAAGUUACUGUUCUGCCUUCAAAGAAUGACUUAGUACCAGUUAUAGAAAAUAUCUUGCAGGUGCCUUGCAACUAUUUAGGUCUUCAGAGAUUCAUUACCUAUUUAAUCUCCAUAGAAAACUACAAGACCCAUACAGGACCAUAUGAAGGCUUAAUCCAGCUCUGUCUUAAUCUACCAGUGCCUGAGCUCUGGGUGAACGUUUGGCACCGAUCUCCAGCAGAUCUGCAAUGCGGUGAUUGAAUGAGCUGCCUCCAAGCUGCUUCUGGCAACAGAAUUCAUAGACCAAUUGGAAUGUCCCCUCUCACCAGAGGUGCUCUGCUUUUACACACGUGAAUAUGAGGAGUGGCUGAACAGUGCUCUUCUUCCUUCAGAUCCUUCCAGGGCACUGACAGUAGACAAGGUUAUCCGACCAGAGCAGUAUGCACUUCAUGUACACUGAGGAUUCCCCUGUUAUCCACACAUGGCCAGAUAGAUUUGUUCCUCUUCGCAGAGGUCUGCCCACAUUUCUCAGUUUGAUCCACCUUUUCAUUCGUCUGUCCUAUCCCAUGGACCUGUGUCCAGUCUAAAUCAUAACCAAGUUCCUGGGUGUAUGAUUCUCAGUGUGGUCACUUGUCUGGCUGAAUGCAGAGGCUACUGAGACCACCAAUUCCCCUGCUCCAGCCAUAGGGUUUGAUGAGGUAAAAAUCCUUUGGAUGUGGUUCCCCACUUUGGCGCCCAAGCUAGAAAGUGCAGGGAACCCCUGCGGAGUUCACACUUCUCAUAGAUUGUUUCUGCAGCACCAGAUUCUGUGUCUGCCCCUUGCCAGGGUUUUCUUUCUCUUUUUUGCUUAAGACCCUGUUGAGCAAGAUUCUUCUACCCCACCUACCCUGUCACCAGGUGCAAAAUCGGUUUUUCUUUUACAAAUAGAAAGUGUAGUAUUUCUGUAUUUUAUUACAAAAUUCUGUCUGAUUUUGUACUCCCUUUUCUUUCUGCACUACCCUCCUGUCCCCGUAGCCAUCUGCCUGUGGUUCAGCCUUUCUCUAGGAGUUGCAUGAAUGCAUUGGAUAGUUCUCAUCUGCCACCUUCCCGAGCUGCUGAGGACUCAUUCUUUUUGUCUGAUAUAAAAUCUAUGCUUCUCUAGUUUAUGCUAAUGAUACUAAGUUUAUAUUGUACAAGGGCAUAUCUGAAGGAGGCUUGUCCAUUUUGAACCCUUGCUUUCAAUACCUUUUACAUUGAUGAAGGUACUUAUUUCUUAGAGUUAUUGAAGACAAUCCAAAGAAAUUUAGCACACUCAGGCUGUUUCAGAGUGGGCCUUCUGAUAUCUACUUCUAUCUCUGCCCUGAGCAAUUGUUGUGGACAAAGUCUUUUUUUUAACCUGGUUUUAAUCCUGGUUUCCGUGAGGAUAUCUAGAUCAUUUUAUGGAACUAUAUCUGAAUUACAUUAUGGUAUAUAUUUUUUUGUUGACCAGAUUAUGUCAGCUACCCAGUAUAUACUCUAUUUAGCAUUGUUUAGACAGAAAUUUAGUAAAAGUCAAUUUUAGAGAAAAGGUAUUAAAUGAUCUCAAAAUCUGGGUUUUUGUUUUGUUUUGUGUGUGUGUUGAUAACAGUGUUGAUCUUCUAACACACCUUUUCCUAGUUCCUAGAUAGCAUAAGCACAUCCUCAAUCUGCGGUGCCUUUUCUGAUGUACUACUUCAUCGCACAUCAUUGCUAAGAAAAAUGUGUACAGCUCCUACUAUGUGCCAGACCCUGUUCACAGAUAACCUCCUCUUCCCUCACAGAAUGCCUCUGAGUAGACCAUCUCUACAGUGCGAACCUUUAAAGAACAACUUCCCGUUAAAUUACAACACAGAAGAUGAAUGCCAUCAUUGUGGCUGUCAGCGGUGUUUCAGACAAUGCAGGCUUUGGGGGCUGUGGACUGUGAAGCCCUGGGAAGGGGAGGAAACUAUCCUGGAGCAAACUUUGUGAUACGAUGUUACUCAUUGCUCUUCAAAUUCAUGUUCUAACAGGACCAUGAGCCAGCUCUCACAGCCGUGUCAUGCUGUGCCGAAGACCUCUGUAGCUCUACUGUUAUGUUCUUCACUGUUUGUGGCACACUCCCAGUUGGCAUAACUCAUCUUUGGCACUUAAUUGGAUGACUGAAGUGUGUUCCAAGAAUACUUUGCUGUUGUCAACCUGGGGCCUUUCUUCUGCUCUGCAGAGUGCCUCGUUCUAAGAUGAAUUCUUGGUGACAAGGGUGUUGCUGACCCAAGUUUGGAGGCAGAAGUCUCUCUGAAACAUGCUGUGAGGGAGAACUGGGCUCCAUUAGCCUGCUCUUCUUUGCCCCUGCAUGGUGAAGUCACUGUUUGGUUUCCACCAGGGAUAGGGAUGUGCUGGUUUGUGUCUUAAUCAUCUUUAGGAGGGACCGAGGCAGUCAUCAUGGAGCAUGGCCAGACUUGACACCGGACACUGAGUAUGAUCUUCAGCAGAUGAUGGAUGGAGUCAUGCCCACCCUGACUGACAGUAUAGCAGCAAACCCUGAGUAGCGUGGUCCUCUGAAUUGUGGUCUCCUGCAGCCUGGGAAGAGCAUGAACAGAGAAAUGGAACAUCCACUGCAGUAUGGUGUCCCAGUCCCAGGUGCUGAUCAUAAGGCACGAGAUCGUGGAGCUGGAAGAGACAUGAGACAGGUGGUGACAGUGAGGUCACAGGGAACAGAUGAACUACUAAUGCAGUGCACCAACGGUUGGAGUGUUGGAGCUGAUGAUGCAAUGCCCCGUCAGGUCAGCAUCUUCAGACGACAAUGAGACCCAGAAGUCCUCCCCCUCCUUCCAGUCUGCAGUGGACCUAGAAGUCGGAGACAGAAAUGGGGGCGUCAGGAUCCACAUGUGAUAAUCCACUGUCUGGUUCUGAGUGGAUUUGCCAUAACAAGUACAUUAUUUAUGCCUGAUAAACAUAUGAUGCUGGUCUUUAUAACUAAUCAUUAAUCUUCUGCACUUGAUUUUAUUUUCUAUAAACUUUACCUAUGGAUGAAAGGAAGACUUCCUCCCAUGACAGAUCUAGACUUUGAAAUAUUGAACCAAG